rnacentral:rRNA from 2 species
UACGUAGGACCCAAGCGUUAUCCGGAUUGACUGGGCGUAAAGAGUUGCGUAGGUGGUUUAUUAAGCGAAUAGUGAAAUCUUGUGGCUCAACCAUAAGGCUAUUAUUUGAACUGGUAGACUCGAGAGUAGGAGAGGCAUCUGGAAUUUUUAGUGUAGGGGUAAAAUCCGUAGAUACUAGAAGGAACACCAAUGGCGUAGGCAGGAUGCUGGCCUAUUUCUGACACUGAGGCACGAAAGCGUGGGGAGCGAACCGG